AACAAUGGUUUUUGAACUCUUCCUCUUCAUUCCUCUAUGGAUUCUGAACUUCUGAAAUUGAAGGUGGUUCAUCUCCAAAGUUUUGGCAAUCGAGGGUGGUUCAUCUUGUUUGCUAUUGAAGAUAUUAUAACUUGUUGAAGAUUGGAGUUGUUAAUCGAUGAAGAUCUCAGGGCUUUGAGAGAGAGUUGGGUAUUUGUUUGGAUCGAAAGCUUACAGGCUCUUAGGGUUUGUAAUGAAUCAUCGGCAGAGGAGUGCAUGAGGGAUUUGAUCUGUUUUCUAUGUUGUAUCAAGAUUUCCAAGAGAGUGAGGAGAGAUUUUGGGCUUGUGAUCCGAAGCAGGGGUAGGUGGGGGAAAUGUGGUUGAUUUUAGCGACGACUGGUACCCGGUUUUUGAGUUCUUUGAUCGUUUCUCAGCAGAAGAGGGAGCAUAGAGCUGAUUUUUGAGUUGAUCGAAGAAACUUUGGAGAUCGGAGUUGAUCGGAGAUCGGCCUUAUAUUUCUCUGCCUAUCUCUCAAACUAGAAAGUCGUCUCUUUCUCUUCUUUUUCUUUGUUGGUUUUGUUCGCAAGACGGCACAGAUGUUGUAGUUGUUCUUCGUCGUAGCCUUCUCGGCGGUGCCUUAGACGCUCUACGUUCCACCGAUUCGAGCUUGAAUCUCUUUGUGGAGACAAUAGAGACUCUUCUGAGACAGAGCACAGAGUACACAGUUAGGCUGUAUCCUCGAAUUCGGCUCGCUUGUUCCAGGAUCCUGGCUUAUGUGCUUCGUAUCAAGAAUUCGAUACCCCAGCUUCUACCCUUUUCUAUACUUUGUAAAGUUUGCAUUUUUGGGGGAAAAGCUUUAACCAUGUUUUGCUUUUAGGAUUUUAAUUGUUUGAUUUGUAAAUGGAGGUCGUUCUUCCCAAGUAAAGUAAUACAUCAAUUUCCGUUUGAUAA